rnacentral:lncRNA from 1 species
GGAUCGAUGAUGACUUUAAAAUGGAUCUCAUCGGAAUCUGAACAAAAUGAGUGACCAAAUCACUUCUGUGCCACUUCUGUGAGCUGAGGUCCAGCACAGGGGCCAUGCCAGACAAACACAUGGAGGGUGUUUUGUUUGGUCAGCACUGGUACUAUGAAACGGCCUGUGGAAUUAGACAACUAACCAGCUCACAUACAGUACAGGAAAUUACUGGACAGUUAACCUACCAAUAUAUGGUUGGGGAUUGGGUGAGAUAGAAUUCCAUGGAAUUUCAUUGCCAAACCAGUGAAGUGCUAAUUUUGACAUUUGUACCAGCUAACGUAGCUGUGAAGAAACACACCAAUACACUUCUAAGGACAGCAUAGACCAAGAUCUAGGUUUCAUAUGGAUGAAUUUAUUCUUCCCUUUGAGGCAAGACAAGAAGGAAAGAAAGUAUUGGGAAUAAUGCUGCCCUCCCAUCCUCAAGGGCCAGUGGGAACUCUAAUAUUGAUUGGUUUUCACAGAAUUCCAUGGACUUUAACUGCUGAACCAAUGAUGCACUGAUUUUGUCACUUGUACCAGCUAACGCAUCUGGGAGGCAACAAAACAAUACUCUCCUGAGGUUAAUGUGGACCAAAAACUAGAUUUCAUAUAAAAGAGUUUAUUCCUUCUACUUGAGGUGUGACAUGAAGGAAAGUAAUGGAAAUAAUUCUGCCCUCCCAUUCUCAAGGGCCAGGGGGAAUUCAAAUAUUGAACGGAAGUGAUUUUGGAAUUGCAUGGAAUUCUCACUGCCAUCCCAAAGAAAUGCUGAUCUUGUCACUCUUACCUGUUUCAUUCCCUGGGGGCAGAACAAAAGGACGCACUCCAAAGAUCGGCAUGAACCAAGAACUGGGUUUCAUAUAAAAUAUUUUAUUCUGUCCUCUUGAGAUGUGACAUGAGAAAAGUAUUGAGAAUACUUCUAUCACCUCAUCUUCAAGAAUCCGUAGGAAUUCUCCCAUGGUGGACUUUACGGUUAACCUGAACAGGUCUUGGAAAAAGGACUUUAAACAUUCUCCUGUUCUGUGGAAUAAGUAUACUUUUUUCUGGACAUACACCUUGUCAGUGAGUUCCAUGUGAUACUAGAGUUGCAUAGAUUUUUAACCUUUACGCCAAUGAAGAUCUGAGGCAAACAUUGCCCCUUUUUUAGAAGUUUGCAUUUGUCACUGAUAACUGUAAUAAUUGAUCUUGUUGAAAAGCCUGGGAAAUGAAGAUCUGAUAUGUCACUUUUACCGGCUUCCUCAACUGAAAAAGAAUACAAUGAAACACGCUGAGAAUUUUUGUGCUUUCUCAGUCUUGCUGAUGAUCUUUCUAUGGGCCUGAAGCGUGGAGAGUGCCAGAGAGGCUGAUCCUCAGCAGUGUGGCAGAGGAAAGUUGGGUGCGACUAAGGGGUAUGCGGUGCCCACAUGCCACUGGGUCCUCAGCAGUACCACCUGAUUGGAAGUGAUAUUGGUGGAAGACAACAUUUUGCCGCUUGGAAUUCUCACCUCCACACCAAAGAAGUACUGUUUUUGUCAUUUGCACCAGCUUCUUUCUCCAGGAAAGAUCAAAACGAUGCACUGCAAGUGUGAUUGGUCCAGAUAGCUGCCUUAUCCAACUGCCUCCUUUGGACCACUUCAUCAUGGGACAGCUUGAUGCAAUCUACUUGACAAGACCCUGGAACCCCACACCCCUCAUGGAACCAGUGUCCACCUCCCAGUCACAGUGUGACCCCAGGGAACUCUUGCCUGCUUGCUUUAAACCCACCACUUAAAAGUCUCCACAGAAAACCUGUUUGAAUAGUACCCUUGACCCAAUAAGGGCAUUGGCCCCUGGGUGUCUCUCUCUCUCUCUCUCUCUCUCUCUCCCUCUCUCUCCCUCUCUCUCUCUCGCUCCCUGACCUCUGCGUGUGGACUCCAGGCAUGCCAUAUACCCCUCAGGACCUGAAGCAAAAGAAUGAAUUAAAGAAAACUCCAGAGAAUGAGCUGACAACCUACUCCCUGGUCAGUGGCUCUCCAUGCCUACCUGUGGUCUCUUGGACACCCUUGCAGAAGAUGACUUCCUGGGAACUCUUCUGGGAGUGAAUGUUAUCAGCAAAUUCCCAAAACAACACCCCUUAGACAAAAAGCCUCCUCACCUAUGCAUUGCCUAGACCACCCACUAAAGGUGAUGGCCACAAAGAGGUGGAUUUGUUGAGUUGGUGCCAUUCCUUCUACUGCCAGCUUCACCAAAACAAUGACACAGUCUUCCUUCCGCAUGGAGACUCUUCUCUUUCCUGUGUUGCAGUGGAUGCCUCCUGCAGAUAAGAAAUGCUUAACUGAGAAAUGCUCAUGUUGGGAUAUCAUCGAUGAGACUUUAAUUUGGGCAUGGUGACUGUUUCCCUUGCUGCCACUUGACUCAAUCCCAGGAGCCUCAGUAGAGGAUAUAAUAUUACACAAGAUGCUCAAAAUGGUGGAAUUGCUCAGUGCUCCCAUAAAUAUACAUUUAUAAUUUUCAUUUGCCACAUGGUAAACUGAAAAAUACAGACUAUAUUAAAAAGAAACUGCAUGAUUUUUUUUCAAAAAUUCAAAGCAUAUUUAAAUAAUAUAUAAAUUAAAUGCCCUCCUCUCUUCCAAUUCUGUCCCUAUAGUUUUCCUCUAUUAAGUGAACUACAUGCAUUCUUUUAGUGGAUAGAUGCACACAAACACACAAGCCAUUAUGGGGAAGGAUCCACGUGUGUGGCCAUAUUGUAACACAUUUUUCUGCAAAUCACCUCUUUCAUUUAACAGCCCUUAUUCAAUGGCCUUUUUCUUUUUCAGUAGUACAUACACAUCUGUGUCAUUUGUUGAAUGACGACAUGAAUGUUUUGUAGAUAAAAUAUAAUUAAAUGUUUUAAGCAUUUCUCACUCAUAGAUAUUUAUGUUAGCACCAAAUUUCUGUGCAAUGAACCUCCCUAUAUAUCAGUAAUUUUGCAUUUGUCUAUAAUAUCAUAAUAAAUUACUUAUCAGUUGAAUUACUGGGAUUAAGUAUGUGCACACUUUAUAUUUAUAUUUUGAAAAUUAUUGCAAGAUUGCCUUCAAAAAUGUGGUUAACAACUUUAUCUUCAAAUGGCAAUGAAUGAGAUUGCCAGCUUUCCUACAGCCUCACAGACAAUGGAUUUUAUAAAUAUUUAACAUUUUUGCCAAUGUGAUCACCCAAACUAUUGUCUUAAAUUGUAUCUCUUUUGUUUUUGAGUUUGGUCAUUUUUUCAUGUUUAUUAGCCAUCUGUAUUUUUUAAUUUCUUCUUUAUGUCCAAUUUUGUGGGUGGGAGGAGGAUUUAGUCUCUUCCUGAUUUCGAAGAGCUCAUUUACUAUUUCGGGAAAUAAGAUUUGGAUUGUCAACCAUUAUAGCUAUUUUUUACACACUUUUCAACUUUGUUUUUGUUAUAAGAAUGUGUAUGAUUGUUACAUGUCCAAGUAUAACCAUGUUCGCUUUUAUGGCUUCUGAGUUUCAUGUCAUUUUUGGAAAGAUAUAUAUAUUGAGUCCAUAAAACCCUUCACCUAUGUUAAAUUCUAAUUCUUUUGUGUUUUUUUAAUUCAAAUUCUUAAAUCAUGAGAAAUUUUUUUGUUUUGAAAUCUUAAAGUUGCCAAGUUACUUGCCAUUACUUGCGAUUAUUUGCCAAUAAUUGCCCAUUUAUCUGUACCGCCAUCUUGCGCAUAUGCUGUACUCUCAUCUGUGACUGGCUCCAUUUUUGUUCUGUGGAUUUGUGUGUCUCUUCUUCUGCCUCCUGUCUCGUGUCUGCUCGUUGGAAGAAAUUACAGUUUAGACUGCAAUUUCAUCAACUUUAAUAAAUCAAUUGAGGGGAGAAUUGGUUUUUAAAAAUAUUAAGUAAGUCUUCGUAUCCAAGGACAAGGUAUGUCUUUUCUUAUUCAAUAAUUUUAAUUACUGUUAAUAUUUUCACUGUGGUGAUGGGAGUUUUUCUUUUAAUUUAUUUUCUUGUUCAUUUUUUGUAUCUAAAGUUUUUGUUUUGUUUUGUUUUGGGGGUAAGUUGUCACCUUACUGUUUCUUGUUGCUUUUCAGAUUUUUUCAAAGUAUAGACUAAAUCCUUCACAAAUAUUUAAAGUUUUUAUUUUCCCCCUUCAUAUUGAUCCUGAUUUUAGUUAUGUUGACAAAGUCCACAGACUGUUACUAUCAGAACACUUGAACAGUUAUGGAAAUAUUACCUACCCUUGAUUUAAUCAGAGUUUAAUGGUAUGCUUCUUUGGUUUGACUGGCACAUUGUCGCUGGUCAUUUCCUCCCAAAGACCACCAGAAAGAGCUAUGAUCAAGCAAAGCUGAGUUUGUUAAACUUACCUGCAGCAAGGGAAAACACCACCUUGAUAGGGUUUAAUAAUGUUUCAAAAUCAAGAAAUGAGGCUUUGGGGUCUGGGCAGGGAACUAAUUAGAAAUGGGCAAAAUUUGUCAUGCAAUACCUUGUGGGAAAGUGAGAUGAGGUUCUUAAUGUGAGUAUUGAUGGUGAAAUCAUUUUCUAGGUGAGCUGUUUGCCUAUAUAAAGAUGUUAUCAAUGACAGAAGAACUAUUUGCCUAGAUAAACAAACUGAAUUUAUUUAUUGGUUUACAGUUUUAUCUUGCUGGGCAGGACUCUGCUGGGGGUGGUAUCAGGUCUUAUUCCCAAUAGGUAAGUUAUUUGGAUAUGGGUGGUCUUAAUCAUCAAUGUGUAAAAUGCUGAUUUUAAGUGCGAAAUACUUUGUCUACCAUGUUAGGAAAGUCUGCCACCUUUUAUCUUUUUUAAGGAAUUUUAAUCAAAACCAGGUGGUAGAUAUAAUCAAAUUGUUUUGCAGAAUCAAUUUUCCUGUUCUCUUUAAAGACUUUUAUCACUGUGAAUUAAUUUACUAUUAUUGCAACUUCCUUUAAUUCCUUGAAUGAACAGACCCUACUGGUUUUAAAAAUGUUUUAUUCUUUUAAUUUACUACUUAAUUGUGGGUAUUUUAAUUUGAUUUGGAAUUUUUACAAGUAUACAACUAAGUGAAAUUGAUCUGUGAUUUUUCUUUUUUGUGCUAUUUUUGUCAUGUUUUGAUAUCAGAUAUUCUGGUUGUGUUAAAAUAAUUUUGAGGAUUUUCUUCUUAUACUGUGUUCUAGAGUGGGUAAAAAAGCCCUAGUCUCACUAUCAGUGUUUAAGUGAACACAUCAGUGACAUCAUCUGGACUCUCCUUUGUUUUUGCUGGUUUGGAGUUAGGACAUCUAGAAGUUUUUUUCUUUUUUUCCUUUUUUUGUAUGGUUAUUGCUUGUUCUUUGUUUUGUGUCAAAUUUAACCUGUUUUCUCUUAGCAAAUCACAGCUCAUGCAGAUUUUCAAACACAUUAGCCUUGUUAUACAAAGUGUUCUUUCAUCAUUCUAUUAAAUUUCCAUUUUCAUUCCAGUUAUAGUUAUUUCUGCUGUGCCUUUGUUAAUGAAUAAGUUUAAACAGUGGAUGUUUAGCAUCACUAGCCUUCCCCUUCCAUCUCCCUUAAUCAGGACCUUGGUAUAAUUUAUCAGGUAUUUUUUAAGGUUCUAAUUUACUUAUAUAUAUUGUUUCUGUAUUCUUUUGUUUCUUUUCUUAAUAAAUUCUUAAA